AAAGUACUCCCUCUGUCCCAAAAUUCUUAUCUUAGAUUUGUCUAGAUACGGAUGUAUCAAGUCACAUUUUAGUAUUAGAUACAUCUGUAUCUAGACAAAUCUAAGACAAGAAAUUUCGGACAAAGGGAGUAGUUG
rnacentral:pre_miRNA from 1 species